rnacentral:lncRNA from 1 species
AGAUUUCAGUUGAGAAGCAAUGCUGUUUCACCUCCCUGAGAGAAUUGCCUUGUUUGUGAAAUACUACAGAAAAACCUGUAUUUUCUCCAGAAAAUGAAAGGUCUUGGCCUGAGUAAAUCAAGGCAGAAAACUCACCCCCGUGAAAGCUGCAGCUCUGAGAGUGUGUGGGCAGGGCUUCAACAGAAUACCUGUGGCUGCACUUACAAAAGGCAGCCAGAAGGACCCGUCCAUUCUGGAAAGUACCUUUAGUCUGAAAGCAUUUAUUGCAGAAAAAAUAUGAGGCUUGCUGGUAGUAUUCCCAGGUGACAAAUGUGCACCCAACACCCUACAGAAAAGAAGAACCAUAAAAUAAUUAAUUAUUCCAUUGUAACUCCUGCCUGGAAAACAUCUGAAAGAAGUCACUAGAUUCAGCCCACAUUCAAGAUGAGAAAUACCAGAAGGCAGAGAACACUGAGGCUGUUUUAGAGGCUGUCAACCCCAGGGAGACAGACAGCAAAUAAGAUGCUUGGAUGUUUUCACACCACUCUGACACAUGGAUGGAAGGUUAGAAGACAACAAAGGAAUGGGCUGGGAAGGACUCCAAAAGCAGAAUCAGAGAUUAUAUCAUUCCUUGGAAAUGGAGAAAAGGAUCAAAAAAGCUGAAUAAAAGGCAAACAUGGAGGAACAGAGUUUGGAGCAAUACCCUGACUUACAUUCAGUACUGUUAAUGGCUCCAGCAUCUUGAAACAAACCAAUUUUGGAUUUUCAGUGAAAAAGAAAGCCAACCCAGAAAAUCACUUAGGAAGAUCCAGACAACAGAUGCCGCUGUCCAAGAUGACGUGAACUCCAGGCUAUUGACUUUCCUCUACCUUCAAUGGAAAUUGUCAUGGAGAAUUAAGUUUUUGACAAAUCUACAGCCUAUGUGCAGGGCUUCUUCCUGGGUGUAACAAUAAGGAAUUUGGAAACUGUCUCUAGUUUUGGCCUGGAGUCACACUGCAGCUUGAGACCCUGUCAUUUCCAUCAAGCUUGAAAAUAUACAUCUUAAUAAACUGCAAUACUUCUUAAA